AGAUUGAACGCUGGCGGCAUGCCUUACACAUGCAAGUCGAACGGCAGCACGGGAGCAAUCCUGGUGGCGAGUGGCGAACGGGUGAGUAAUAUAUCGGAACGUGCCCAGUCGUGGGGGAUAACGCAGCGAAAGCUGUGCUAAUACCGCAUACGAUCUAUGGAUGAAAGCGGGGGAUCGCAAGACCUCGCGCGAUUGGAGCGGCCGAUAUCAGAUUAGCUAGUUGGUGGGGUAAAAGCCUACCAAGGCGACGAUCUGUAGCUGGUCUGAGAGGACGACCAGCCACACUGGAACUGAGACACGGUCCAGACUCCUACGGGAGCAGCAGGUGGGGUAAUUUGGACAA
rnacentral:rRNA from 1 species